rnacentral:rRNA from 1 species
AGAGUUUGAUCCUGGCUCAGAGCGAACGCUGGCGGCGUGCCUAACACAUGCAAGUCGAGCGAACCGUUGGGGAAACUCGGACGGUUAGCGGCGGACGGGUGAGUAACACGUGGGUAACCCACCUGGGGGACCGGGAUAACGGCUCGAAAGGGCCGCUAAUACCGGAUACGCUCCCUGGGGCGCAAGCUCCUGGGAGGAAAGGUCGCGCAAGCAGCCACUCCCAGACGGGCCUGCGGCCCAUUAGCUAGUUGGCGGGGUAACGGCCCACCAAGGCGAUGAUGGGUAGCCGGUCUGAGAGGAUGACCGGCCACACGGGGACUGAGACACGGCCCCGACUCCUACGGGAGGCAGCAGUGGGGAAUCUUCCGCAAUGGGCGAAAGCCUGACGGAGCGACGCCGCGUGGGGGACGAAGGCCUUCGGGUCGUAAACCCCUGUCAGAGGGAAAGAAGGGUACCGGCGUGAACAGCGCCGGUAUUUGACGGUACCCUCAGAGGAAGCCACGGCCAACUCCGUGCCAGCAGCCGCGGUAAUACGGAGGUGGCAAGCGUUGCUCGGAAUCACUGGGCGUAAAGGGCGCGUAGGCGGGGAGGUAAGUCGGG